UACGUAGGGGGCAAGCGUUGUCCGGAUUUACUGGGCGUAAAGAGCGUGUAGGCGGCCAGGUAGGUCCGCUGUGAAAACUCGAGGCUCAACCUCGAGACGUCGGCGGAAACCAUCUGGCUAGAGUCCGGAAGAGGAGAGUGGAAUUCCUGGUGUAGCGGUGAAAUGCGCAGAUAUCAGGAAGAACACCCGUGGCGAAGGCGGCUCUCUGGGACGGUACUGACGCUGAGACGCGAAAGCGUGGGGAGCGAACAGG
rnacentral:rRNA from 1 species